GAUGAACGCUAGCGGCAGGCCUAAUACAUGCAAGUCGAGGGGCAGCGGGGUAGCAAUACUGCCGGCGACCGGCGCACGGGUGCGUAACACGUAUGCAACCUACCUUAAACUGGGAGAUAGCCCGGGGAAACUCGGAUUAAUACCCCAUAAUACAUUGGUUCACAUGAAUUGAUUGUUAAAGAUUUAUCGGUUUAAGUUGGGCAUGCGUUCGAUUAGCUAGUUGGUAAGGUAACGGCUUACCAAGGCUACGAUCGAUCGGGGGUCUGAGAGGAUGAUCCCCCACACUGGGACUGAGAUACGGACCAGACUCCUACGGGAGGCGGCAGUAGGGAAUAUUGGUCAAUGGAGGCAACUCUGAACCAGCCAUGCCGCGUGUAGGAAGAAGGCGUUCUGCGUUGUAAACUACUUUUGAUUGGGAACAAAUGACUCUUGCGAGAGUAGCUGAGUGUACCAAUAGAAUAAGCCACGGCUAACUACGUGCCAGCCGCCGCGGUAA
rnacentral:rRNA from 1 species